CGGAGAGGCUGCUCUGCCGGCGAGCGCGUGUUUCAGAUGCUUAGCUGCCUAUAAAGCUCUAACAGUUUUGCUUGUGCCCUCUGAGUGUGAAAUGCCAGCCAGCCUCCCUCCCUCCCUCCGCAGCGUGUACAGGACCCCCCCACCCCUGACCUCCGCCCCCAGCAGACGUGACCCCUGCAGAGACUAGGAAGCUGCUGCCUCCUCACAGAUGUUCGACUGCGCUGCUGCUGCUGCGUCCCCAAACCGGACUUUUCUUUUUUUCUUUCUCAAAAGAGCAGGAAGGCGAAACGGAGCAGGAUGAGGAGGAGGAAAAAAAAAAGAGCCAACUAAAACGACUGCAUUUGGCUGAAGAGACGAUGCAGUGCAACGCUGAACAAAAAAAAAAAGGGAAAACUUAUGGAACAAGCAUAAAACGAAGAGUCCCAGGACCUGCCUCCCUUAUUGGUCUACUUUGCAACUUUUUCUUCUCUCCUUCUCUCCUGGCAAGUUUGCGAACGCAGGAAACUUUUCGACCCCCAGCGCAUAGCCGAAUUUACAAAGAGACACCAGACAGGAUCUCUCCAGCUUUACCGUGUUAGGCCACGUGAGAAACAACAACAACAACAACAACAACAACAAAAAAAGCACUGCCUUGCUCUUCCACUUGAACAUCGAUUUCAGCUCGGCGUCCUUAACAAAAAGCUACUCCCCCAAAACACACAAAAGAAGGUGCAGGUUUCCAUCAGUUUAUUUUUUUUAAAAAGGAUAGAAAACGCCAGGGUCUCAAUGGCACGUUUGUGGGAGGACAGCAAUGGUCUGCCUUUAGAUCGUCUUCUAGGAGUCCUUUACAGAAACUGUGUUUUUACCCCCCCCCACCAAGUUGGAUCACCCCUUCUCAAACAUCAGCACCGCUCUGACAUCCUGCCGGAGAGCUGGUUAAAACCACAGGCUGUGUAUCAGAUCACAGGCGCAGAGGGAGCGAGAGGGAGAGGGAGAGGGAGGAAUGAAGAGAGAGCAAGCCGGGGAGAGGAAGAGGACGGAGGAGGAAAUGAAAAGUGAGACCGGGCGCUGCGCAGACGGAGCCGCUCAGCUUGUGGAAGAGCCCCCCUUAUUCCCAGGACACCGCAAUCAAGUUUGCGAAGGACAAGGCUGAGAGGAAGGAGCAGGGAGCGAGCCGGUGAACAGGCCAGUCGCAAGAGCAAGAGGGGAUAAACACCGGGGCUCUCUCUUCUUCUCAUCAACCCCCUCCCCGUGAUGGACUCCGCAGACAAGGACAAGCCAGCCCACCGUUACAAAUCCCAGCCUUUCUUCAUCUCAGAUCAUUUCUUUCAGCUCUUUGGAGGACAGAUGGGGUCACUGGCUCAGGCUGCACGGUAUGGACUGUCACAGAUUUAACGUGCACAAGAGACACGGGACAUUUAGCCCAGGUGGGUGGGAACGAAAGAACCUUCAAGACUUCCCUUUAUUCUGUGUUGGUAUGAAGGUGGAUUAAUUUAGGGAACGUUCAACAUCACCUCAUGGUAAUGUCUCUCAUGCUGUUCUUUUUUUAAAGGUUCCUGAAGUCUGGUAGAGAACUGUAAUGCAGUGUAGUGUAAACCAGUGUUUAUCUGACGGUUUUCCUCAAGCAAAACAAGAGUAUACAGCCACUGACAGGAUGAGAGUAGCAUAUAAUCAGUACUUUGACUCGGGCUGUCAUUUAUCCGCCUAUCCGGAGUACAUACUUCUUUAUGUACCCAUAUGGACAUAUGAAAGCUAUGGAAUGUAAAGAAGUAUGUAUUUUUGAUCAGGCACUGAGCGACGAAGCCAGAAGUUUGGAUUUCAGGAUUUUGGGAAUUAUUGUCACUGUCAGGAGUGUAACUAGUCGUAACAGUAAGUUUUGUAAUUCCUCUGAAGCGGUGUAGUCGAAAAACACACCUGGCUGAUAAGAAAUGUUGUAAAACGAGCGGCGCACAGCCUUGGGUGUUAAUGGUGCAGUCGGUGCUUUUUUAACGUUCUGUCCAUUGUUUUACAUUGAAUCGGACGCCUUCGUAGUAAGUUAGUUAGAAGAUCGCGCAGUGCACCGGCCCCUGGCCUUGUGGGGGUGUAGGGAGUACGAUCAGGAUACUGCUGCAGUCCAAGAGCCAGGGAAACUAGAGGCUGGAAAAUCCGCUCUUGACGGAACAGUAAAACACCCAACUGCCCUUACUAGGCAACUGAAAACCCUCCUCGUGCUGGGCCACCGACCCCGAAACUGAAAUCAAUUUACCAGCUCCGAACAAGUGCUUUUCGCAUUGCUGGGGGAAAGGAGCCCUUCCAAACAGGCCCUCUUCACUAUCUGGCGCUGCACCGCAAUGUGCUGGUUUGUUGAACUCAGGCCAACAGUAACUUAACAGCUAGUUUUGUAUAAAUUGUAGCAUGCCGGAGCUGGUCAAAAGAUUAACGUCAUAAUCCUUCCAAAGGUCCACCACUUUUGGCAAAAACAAAUGAGAACCCAUUUUACCGAGGGGGGAAAAAAGGGGUUGUGGAACGACCGCAAAAUUGACAUUUGUACUAAUUGCGCAGAUCUAAUUUGAGGUCUGCGAAUCCUCACGCAAUCGGAUCUCGGAGCUGUAGGACAGCGCCAUGAAAAGGGAAUGCUAAUCUACAGUUCUAUACCAUAUCCCUGCUGUUUUAACCCCUUUCGCUCUCUGCUUGCUCUCCUGAUCCCACCCUAUUGUUCAUGUUUGCUACGCUUGCCAAAUGCUUUGCUGAAGUGCAGUCAGAUUAGCGCAUGGAAAAGUGACAAUGCAGAGAUUUCUGGACCAGGCCUGCCAGUCAGCUGCUUUCCAUUGUCGACAGCUUCAUAAAAAUAAAGGACAGUGAUGAUGGAUUGCUGCCUGCAUCCACCGCUCCUCCUCUGGAGCACUGUGCAAAGAACAGGGCAGUUAACUGAACGGAACAAUGGAGGUAAAUUCCCAAACAGGGAUUGUCUGACCUUGGGCUGGUCACUUCAGCUUUAUGUGCCUUGAUCAGCCCCUGCCCCCCUGCUUCAUGGCUACACUGACCCUUUCCCCAGGUGUGCACAAAAAUACUGUCCUGACUCUCUAAGAAAAAGGAGGAAAGAAAUGUCCACAGAUACACAAGCUGUUGAACUUGGUUUUAACUGCUUAGUGAAAAGAAAAGCGGCCUUUGCUGUCAGGGUGUAUUAGUGUAAGCAGCAUCACAAAGCCUCAAGCGGAGUUAUAUUACUUCACAUCUCAGCCAGGGCAAGUUGCUGGACGUGGCCCCGGAAGGAGUCUAAACCGGCAUCGUGCUUCUUAGUUCUUUCAAAAGGCACAUGCAGGCAAAACCCAAGCUACCAUUAGUGUAAUAAAUAUUACACUAUUAUUUCUUGAGGCAAAAUAUACUUACAACAUUCCAAAAAGUUACACAUAAAAAAACAUGUCCAAGUACACUUUGGCUAGGAAGAAGGUAACCUGACUGAUUAGAUACGUUUUAACUAAGCAGCAUGGGUCUAGUACUAACCCAUACUGUUGAAAUCAUAUUUUUACCAAGAUGGUUCAGAACCAUAUGCAAGUCAGUUAAACUAAACGUGAAACACUGUGUCAAUGACUGCAGUGCACUUAACGGCAAAGCACGGAGUGCUACAGUGUUCCUAAGAAUAUCUAGAUGAAGUAGCCCUUGUAAAAAAAAAGCCAAGAUCAUUCAAGCUGCUACACAGCCCGGCUGAGCAGGCCGAGUCCAAAAAAAGAAAUGACAGGGCACAUUUUCCCAGCUAAAGGAGCCAUCAUCAGAGGAGGACAAGUGUCCAUCACUGCUCUGCAGUAAACCAUCACCCUUCGCAGGCCUGCCCGGAUCUCUGAAAUAGCAAAUCCAUCACUGGGAUCAGCUGUUCCCUCUGUUUUCUCUCCCUGUUUUUUUUUUUUAAAUCUGACAGCACUCCGAGUCUGACCCCUGAGCAUGUGCUGACACUGAUGUAACUCGGGCAUUUCCAAGCGGCUGACUGACACACAGAACAGAUGCUGACAUUAUCAAAUACGGCGCUGAUUCUUUCCAUUGCCUUCUCUUGCCCUGAUAUGGCCAGCGCGUGAAAGGGAGAAGCCAUCCAAAAACACACUUGAGCAGCUGGACGUGCCCACGAGCCCCAGUAUGGAGGGGCAAUAAAUAGAGCUGGGCUUACAGCCCCCGGCCGCACCUGCUGUGGCCUCCCUCUCCCCUGCCCCUCCCGGGACAGGCCCUGCACACGAGCACGGCCAUCACCCUCCUGAGAGCGGCCCACAUCGGGGCUCAGCCCCCACCCCGAAAUGCGGCCAGCGUCUCCAGGCGCAAAGAGCACAGUAACGUGCUGAGGGCCUUCUCCAACGCUCAUGAAACGGCCUUCACCAAUAUCCCACAAUGCAUUUAUAUCGGGAUGUCAGUGUCAAAACGGAACGUCCUUUUAGCGUGGUUACUUGGCACCAAAGUUUCCCGACAGGGAAAACCCGAACAGCUUUAGGUUGAUCUGAAAAGCCCGGACAGGACUGAAAAGCAGCGGUGCAGCAAGCGGUGCAGGUGUCCUCGUUAAACCCGUAUAAAACCAAGCCAAACCCAGGAAUGAGAGAUACCAACGAUAAGGACCAUCAUGCAAAUGAGUGAAGGAGUCACCACUGCAUGAGCUGCCCUCACUGAAGCCCCCUGUCCGGGGCGCCGCCUCUACCCCGCCGCCCAGAGACCACAACUCUCGGGGCUCUGGCUGUGUGAGCCAGAGACACAGCCGUGUCGGGGACUAUCAAUCAGGGGCUGGAAUUGCUGCACGGCUUGAAGACAUUUGGCUCAAGCGUGCGAGGCAGAUUACUAUUAACAAUUUAUCAAAGAGCAUUACUCUUCUUUUAACAAAAUCGUGACGAGGCUCUUUUCCCCCCCCUUUCGGGGGGAAAAACCCCUCCGGAAGAACGUGCAUGUGCUUGGUCCUGUGUGCCUGCAUACAAUGCUGUCUAGGGACCAGUCCGAGCCAAGCUAGGGGAAGAGAUCAAACCUGUCCAGAACAAGAGAGUUCUGGGGAAGGAUGAAAUGACGCCUCUCCAGAGCUUGCAGGGUACUCUCAGCAUCGGCAGUGUUCACAGGCGCCACAGAGAAGGGUUCUUACACAGCACAGGAGCUCAAGGCCCACUGCCAAUGCUUUGCUAAAGCUGGUAAAAUGGAACCAAAUCACCUUUUCAAUGGAUUUGGUCCCCUUCAACCAGCUGUAGCUAUGCAUUGAUGACUACAGGACCAGUUUUUGUUUUUCAUUUCUGCACAAAAUUAAUAAGUUGCUCUCUCCAUAGUAAUACAAAAUUGCAUCUGUAAUUCAUAAUCUUUUUAGCUAACUUUGCAUACGUGCCUCUGAAACUGACAACAUAUCCGUCUCUAGAGCUAGGUAGGAAUUUUCGACAGACUGCUUUAAAACAACAUUUCUAUAUUUGAUGGUUCCCGUGCCUGAAUGCUAUACUUGAUCUACAGUGUUUGCUUGAUUCAGUGUUCAGUGUUAUAUGGCUGCUUUACAAAUAAAUAAGAAAAACAAUCAA